rnacentral:rRNA from 1 species
GACGAACGCUGGCGGCGUACUUAACACAUGCAAGUCGAACGGAAAGGCCCUGCUUUUGUGGGGUGCUCGAGUGGCGAACGGGUGAGUAACACGUGAGUAACCUGCCCUUGACUUUGGGAUAACUUCAGGAAACUGGGGCUAAUACCGGAUAGGAGCUCCUGCUGCAUGGUGGGGGUUGGAAAGUUUCGGCGGUUGGGGAUGGACUCGCGGCUUAUCAGCUUGUUGGUGGGGUAGUGGCUUACCAAGGCUUUGACGGGUAGCCGGCCUGAGAGGGUGACCGGCAAAAUGGGGAAAGAGAACCGGCCCGUACUCAGACGGGGGGGAUGAGUGGGGGAUAUUCCACACGGGGAGGGAGCGAUAUGCACAAACGCCGCGGGGUGGGUGGGGGCGUGGGGGUUGAAACCGCUUUGCGCGUGUGAAAAGGGGUGGUUGAGGUAAGUGGGAAAGAAAGCCCCGGCUAAAUAUGCG